AUGGCGAACUACCCUGUCAAUGUCGUCCCGUACCUGCCGCAGGGCAUGACCGUCGAGCUUGGGCCUGAAGAUAGACUGGUCAGAGAUGAGAUGGUGGUCAGUCCGGUGCCGCCACUCCACCAUGACUUCUUGGCCAUUGCAGAGGUGAACCGCUUCGUCCCUUUCCAUCAGAAAGCUCUGCUUCGCCACACCAUCGAAGGUUUGCUCCAUGAGUCCAAUUUCUUCCCCACUGAAGUAGACGACUACCCGCUCGGGAUUGGCAUCUUUGGUUUCAUGGAUUCUGUAGUUAGAGAUACUGUGGUGGGCACUACAUUUGAGCUAGAUGAGGAUGAUGAUAACCAAGGCACCGUUGUUUCCUUUGUUCCUCACGAUGCUGCUAUCAAUAUGCGCCAAACUAGCUUUGGGCCUCAAGUAUGGCUGCUUUAUAUUGGAUUGCCUCAUGAUUAUCAAACCUCUCAUUACAUCCAUAAGUCUGUGGACAAAUUUGGGGAACUUAUCACUUGGAAUAAUCCUAGAGGGGACAGGAAGUUUGUUCUGAUCAAGGCCAGAGUUCUUAGUUUGCGUUGGGUGCCCAAAAGCUUCGUUAUGCAUCAGUUAGGUGGUGAGCGCUGUUGCUGGACGGUAUGUGUCACGAUCCUGCGCAGUAGCGAUUGGAAUGCGCAUAUCCCGGAUGUGCCACCGGCGGACAUGGAUCCACCUCCUGCUGAUGGGAUCCCCCACCCCUUGUUCGGUGAAGGUCUCACCACGGAGCAGAUGUACCAAGCACAGCUGCAUAAUUGGCUUGCUCAGAAUGCCGCGCCAAACACUCCUGAUGCUGCUCCACAACACAAUGCUCGUCAAGGCCACGAUGUUCAUUUCCAAGCGGGUUGGGUUGCAUGGCCACCUUCGCCCCACCUGCUCUGUAUAACUUUCAGGCAUUGCCGACAGCAGAAGGCCUGCAGGUUCAGGAUGGGAUAUUACCUGCAAACAAUCUUCAGGACAGCCCAGGUACAGCUUGGAAUGACUCUUUCUCUGCAUAUGACAGUUCAGACUCCAGUGCAACAAUCUCGGACAGUUAUAUCAUGGUUCCCAGCAACAUCUUCAACGCUCUCACUAUGGGGGACAGUUCUGCCGUGCCUGGAAGCAAUGCUACCCCUAGUCCGGCCCCUCAGCAAAAUGCCCUGGACAUUCAAAUCUCCCUUUCUGCUGCUGGAUUACAGCUUGCUAUGA
rnacentral:rRNA from 1 species